UGACGCAGCAGCUUCUGGUUGGUUGAAGCGGAAGAGCCCUAGCGAAAGAGAAAGUUGCCUGCAUGCCAUGAGCUGAAUCCCAUCUGAUGUAGACGUUCAAGCGACGUGUCUGGAGAAGUUGGACUGGAGUGUGAACCCGCUGGGUGACGGACCCUGUCCUGCCUGCUGUCAGCCUGCCCCCUAAUGGCCAGCUUCCCCCUGCUGGCCUGCAUCUUCAAACCCUGCUGCUUGUAGCUACACAGCCUCCUACGGGCCAGCGCCUUCGCAGGAAUAAAGCAACACCGCCUCUUACUGGCCAGCACACUGGCAGGAACAGGGCACCUGAAGUUGGUGAAUCUGUCCCAUAAUGCCCUGUGCUCUAUGGGCUUUGAGCUGGUCCUGAAGACUCUGCCUCUCCAAUGUCUCACUCAACUCGAUCUGUCUGCCAUCCGCUGUGGAACCGCUGACCACCCUCCUUCAAAACAUCUGACGAUGACUGCUCCCUGACCCACCUGAGUCUUGCAGGAAAUCAACUGAUGGACGGCAGAGUGGCCACCCUCGCCAGCACAAAUCAUGAAGAUAUCUCUGGUCCUCCUUGCCUUCAGUCUGCUGGCUUGUUCAGUUUGGGAAAUCCAUGGGCAAUGCCAAGAGGUUGACCUUGAUGACCAGGAAGUAGUGGAAGUACAGCCGGAAAAGCGCAUGGAUGAAAGCAGCUCCUCUGACCACAGUGACUUGGAUAGCUCUGUCAGCCCUCUGCCGGCUGUCUGCCCACGCCUACCUGCAGCCCCCAAUCCACAGAAUGUACCCACAGUCAGGAAACAAGCUCUUCUGUUCCUGAAACCAGAUAUGCUGUGGCACCCUCUGCCAAGUGCCAAUGCCCGUCUCACUCAACUAAGACUGAGAUGGUUAGCAGAGUGUCGUUGUCCUCCAGUAGGGGUUUCUCUCUGAGGAAGACUGACGACGACCCCCGACCUUCCAUGGCGCCCCAGAACCACCACAGCACUCAGCAGCUUUACAGAGAGAGCAGCAGGUCAUAGAGCCCCACAGUAGCCGACGCGAUGACCCCCGACCUUCCACACCACCCCAGACCCACCACAGCAUUCAGCAGGUCCUGGCUGAGGUGUGUUCUUGGGACCUCGCCCCUGUUCCUGAGCAAUACAAGAAGGUCUGUCACAGCCUGGCAGUGGUGUCUGGAGGAGUUGGACUCGAGUGUGAACCUGUUGGGUGAUGGACCCUGUUUGGCCUGCUGUCAGCCUGCCCCCUACUGGGCAGCCUCUCCCUGCCGGCCUGCAGCCUCACAGCCUGCUACCAGUAGCCAUACAGCCUCAUACUGGCCAGCGCCUUUGCAGAUAAACAGCAACACUGCAUUGUACUGGCCAGUACCCUGGCAGGUAAACAGGCUCAUUGAUAACCUUUUUAAACUGAUAUACAAAUAUUAUUAGCAUUAGAUCAUUUAUAUAAAUGGUGAAAAGCACAGGAGCCAGAAUGGAACCUUGGGGGACACCAGUUUUCAACUCCACAUGGAUACAUUGCUAUCUGUUUAUGAGGUGGUUCUUGAAAUGUGACCUAAGAAUCAGAAUCAUGUCAUUGUCCUACAGGAACAGGGCACCUGAAGUCAGUGAAUCUGUCCCAUAACGCCCUGUGCUCUAUGGGCUUUGAGCUGGUCCUGAAGACUCUGCCUCUCCAAUGUCUUACUCAACUCAAUCUGUCUGCCAUCCGCUGUGGAACCGCUGACCACCCUCCUUCAAAACAUCUCAAACACACACACACACACACACACACACACACACACACACACACACACACAAAUGCAGACACAUACACACACAAAUUCAAAUAAAGUUAUUCUAUAGUGUACUUUCACAUUAAUUAAGCAUUGUUUGUCUAAAGAAAUGCAUAAUCUAUCACAGGAUCUACAGUAAGUAUUUACUUAGUAGAGGAAAUUUGUCCAGGAAGGUACACGAUAAAGACUGCAAAUCUAAGAAAUGGAUCAGUAAAUUGUGAGGAGCUUUUAAUAGAAUUUGUUGAAACAAUUGGUUGCGUUUCUGGUCUCAGGCAGGCGCCUUGCAAGUUGAGAAAACAUUUCACAGUUUGAAAAGGAAGUUUGUCAUCCGCUUAUCUGCUGCACAACUUUGCCUUUGGUAUUCAAGCUAAGAAACGUGUUGAUAUGGUAAUUAGGAUACAAUGGUUGUAUCUUAAUUGUAUAUUUGACUUAAUGGGGAGCUAUGGCAAGAUGAUAUUUAGAGGAGCAAAUGUAGUUGUCACACCCUGAUCUGUUUCACCUGUCUUUGUGAUUGUCUCCAUUAUCCCCUGUGUAUUUUAUACCUGUGUUCUCUGUUUGUCUGUUGCCAGUUCGUCUUGUUUGUCAAGUCAACCAAUGGUUUUGUCUCAUGUCCUGCUUUUCCCAGUCUCUUUUUCUCGCCCUCCUGGUUUUGACCCUUGCCUGUCCUGACUCUGAGCCUUCCUGCCUGACCACUCCACUUGCGGUCCACCCUGCCUGCCGUCCUGUACCUUUGCCCCACCUCUGGAUUAUUGACCCCUGCCUACCCUGAGCCUGCCUGCCUGCCGUCCAGUACCUUUGCCCCACCUCUGGAUUAUUGAC